rnacentral:sRNA from 1 species
UUGUAAAACAAAGCCAGGGCGAAAGAU